UCACCGUUGAAAUGAAUGAAAACGACGGGACAUCGAUGACGAUGACAGAAGGUGGAGGUCGAUCGAUGGUGAAGACGACGAGUGAUGGUGGAGGUCGAUCGAUGGUGAAGACGACGAGUGAUAGUCAAUCGGUGUUUUGCGCUGCAGUUUUGGCCGCCAUUGUUGUCGAGAGAGAGAGAAAGAUUAGGUUUGUUGUUGUGAUGGUGGAGGUCGAUCGAUGGUGAAGACGACGAGUGAAUUUCAAUCGGUGUUUUGCGCUGCAGUUUUGGCCGCCAUUGUUGUCGAGAG
rnacentral:lncRNA from 1 species